GCUGGGCAUGGUGGCGCAUGCCUGUAGUCCUAGCUACUCGGGAGGCUGAGGCAGGAGAAUCACUUGAACCCGGGAGGCGGAGGUUGCGGUGAGCUGAGAUAGCGCCACUGCACUCCAGCCUGGGCAACAGAGGGAGAUUCCGUCUCUA
rfam:Gorilla gorilla gorilla genomic chromosome, chr1, whole genome shotgun sequence